rnacentral:lncRNA from 1 species
ACUGAAUUCCUGAGAAUACAAGUAGUUUUGAAAGGUGUCAACACAAAGGUUGGNAGUGUCAACACAAAGGUUGGUGAGUUCAUAAGAGAUUUUAUUGGAGAAGUAAACCGUUUUCCUUGUAAAAACGAGAUGAUAUGUAUUCAGAAAAUCCGAUAUUUUCUUUAUAAAAUUUAUGUAAUGUAGUCUUAUAACCGACGACCAUAAUGUAUAAGUAACCUCUCUUACUAAAGGAAAAUGAUAUGUGUUU